rnacentral:rRNA from 1 species
GAGUGAUGAAGGUUUUCGGAUCGUAAAGCUCUGUUGUUAGGGAAGAACAAGUGCAAGAGUAACUGCUUGCACCUUGACGGUACCUAACCAGAAAGCCACGGCUAACUACGUGCCAGCAGCCGCGGUAAUACGUAGGUGGCAAGCGUUGUCCGGAAUUAUUGGGCGUAAAGGGCUCGCAGGCGGUUUCUUAAGUCUGAUGUGAAAGCCCCCGGCUCAACCGGGGAGGGUCAUUGGAAACUGGGAAACUUGAGUGCAGAAGAGGAGAGUGGAAUUCCACGUGUAGCGGUGAAAUGCGUAGAGAUGUGGAGGAACACCAGUGGCGAAGGCGACUCUCUGGUCUGUAACUGACGCUGAGGAGCGAAAGCGUGGGGAGCGAACAGGAUUAGAUACCCUGGUAGUCCACGCCGUAAACGAUGAGUGCUAAGUGUUAGGGGGUUUCCGCCCCUUAGUGCUGCAGCUA